rnacentral:rRNA from 1 species
GAAAUGCGAUAAGUAAUGUGAAUUGCAGAAUUCAGUGAAUCAUCGAAUCUUUGAACGCACCUUGCGCUCCUUGGUAUUCCGAGGAGCAUGCCUGUUUGAGUGUCAUUAACAUAUCAACCCUUCUAGCUUCUUUGCAGGCUGGUUUGUGGCUUGGAUGCUGGGGGUUUUGCUGGCUUUCUCAAGGUCARCUCUCCUGAAAUGCAUUAGCGGAACCGUUUGCGGGUCUGUCACUGGUGUGAUAAUUAUYUGCGCCAAAGUCRGACGUGCUCUCUGUGUGUUCAGCUUACAAUAGUCCCGUUCAUUGGGACAAACUUUAAUGAAUGCUUGGCCUCAAAUCAGGUAGGACUACCCGCUGAACUUAA